AGCGAACGCUGGCGGCAGGCUUAACACAUGCAAGUCGAGCGGGCACUUCGGUGUCAGCGGCAGACGGGUGAGUAACACGUGGGAACGUACCCUUUGGUUCGGAAUAACGCUGGGAAACUAGCGCUAAUACCGGAUACGCCCUUUUGGGGAAAGGCUUGCUGCCGAAGGAUCGGCCCGCGUCUGAUUAGCUAGUUGGUGGGGUAAUGGCCUACCAAGGCGACGAUCAGUAGCUGGUCUGAGAGGAUGAUCAGCCACACUGGGACUGAGACACGGCCCAGACUCCUACGGGAGGCAGCAGUGGGGAAUAUUGGACAAUGGGCGCAAGCCUGAUCCAGCCAUGCCGCGUGAGAGAUGAAGGCCUUAGGGUUGUAAAGCUCUUUUGUCCGGGACGAUAAUGACGGUACCGGAAGAAUAAGCCCCGGCUAACUUCGUG
rnacentral:rRNA from 1 species